GACGAACCGUGCAAACGUUGUUCGGAUUCACUGGGCUUAAAGGGCGCGUAGGCGGCAGGCCAAGUCAGGGGUGAAAUCUUUCGGCUCAACCGGAAAAUUGCUUUUGAUACUGGCUUGCUUGAGGGAGGUAGGGGCAGACGGAACUUCCGGUGGAGCGGUGAAAUGCGUAGAUAUCGGAAGGAACGCCGGUGGCGAAAGCGGUCUGCUGGACCUUUUCUAACGCUGAGGCGCGAAAGCCAGGGGAG
rnacentral:rRNA from 1 species